GAAGGUAAGGGUGAUCUGGCUGUCACAUCUGUCGCUUCAUUGAUCUCCAGGGUUGAAUCAGCUGAUCUGGCUGGCCAGGUCAGUUCCCUUUCCUCCUUUACCACUCACUCCAGAUGUGUCCCUCCUGAAGCUGUGCGCUCCAUCCAAGAGGAAGAUUGCCCCUGAUAGAGGAAGACCGGGAUACAGGUGUAGCUGCACUCCCCUGCUAGAACCUCUGAGGAAACUUCAAAAAUCCAGAACUAAGCUGUUUGACUUCAAGACAAGCUAAAAGAGGAUAUUUAUAUUGUAAUACUUUUA
rnacentral:snRNA from 1 species